UUAUCACCACCACGUUCCAUAUAAAAUCAUGAUCACGAACUGAUUUUUCUAUCUUAUUUAUUUUACUCUUUUCUUUUUCUGAACAUAGAUUCUACUUUCUUUUUCAUAGCUUCAUUCUCCUUCUGUCGAGUUUUUCUUCUGAUCAGAAACAAAUUCCAUACAAAUUUAUGAUUACUCUUAUUCUAAUAUUUUUAAUUGAUUAUUCUUAAUAUACAGUAGGUCAGUUUUCUUUAUUUCUCGAUUAAUAACCUCUCAAUUGUUCAUUCCAGGUAAAAAUGGCAAUUGGUUAUGCUUCCGUCAACUUAUUUUUUCAAUAAAAGAUGAGAAGUCAAAGGUUUACACCAACCAAGUAACAAAAAGAAAACAGAGAAACGGAGAGGGAAGAACAGAAACGGAGAGGGAAGAAGAAAAAAGUCAAACAAAACAAAACAAAAUCAAUGAGCUUCUCUGCAACAAACAUAAAACGCAAGCAGAACCAUACAUAAAUUGAAACAAGUGACAUCUUUUGAAGAAAUCACAUCUCAUGGCUAACAAAUAAUUGAUGUGAUAGCUACAUACUCCACUGAGGGAAAAGAAUAUCAGUAACUAUGAAAGAUUCAAAUUGGGUAAUUACAAAUUUGUUUGUUAUGGUUUUACUAUUUCACAUAUCUAUGUUUUCUUAUAAAAGAGUAUAUUAUGACUAUUUUGUAAACUUUUGUAGGUCUAUUAUAUUGAAGUUAACUAUUGUACAUA